ACAUUACCUGGCAGGGGAGAUACUAUGAUCACAAAGGUGUUUUUUUCCCAGGGCAACGCUCAUCCAUUGUACUUUGGAUGUCUGACCUCUGUGACUUCCCCAAAUGCAGGGACUUCAGAAUUUGUGGUAGUGUGGGACCAUGUUCAUGCUCUCCCA
ensembl:snRNA U1 U1 spliceosomal RNA